UACGUAGGGGGCUAGCGUUGUCCGGAAUCAUUGGGCGUAAAGCGCGUGUAGGCGGUUUGGUAAGUCCGCUGUGAAAGUCGGGGGCUCAACCCUCGAAUGCCGGUGGAUACUGUCGAACUAGAGUGCGGAAGAGGCGAGUGGAAUUCCUGGUGUAGCGGUGAAAUGCGCAGAUAUCAGGAGGAACACCAAUUGCGAAGGCAGCUCGCUGGGGCGUAACUGACGCUGAGACGCGAAAGCGUGGGGAGCAAACAGG
rnacentral:rRNA from 1 species